UGGUUCCUACAGUGUUUGGGGUUCUUCAGUGUGUGUGUGUGUGGUUUCAUUUCUUUAAUUCUGAUACAGUUAAGUAUGGCUUUUGGUCUGGGUAAUGCUAAACAUCCAAAACCAGACCAUAACAAUAAAUUAAGUUUGGUCCAAUUUGGUUCGGUUCCUACAGUGUUUGGGGAUUUUUCAGUUCUGGAACUUUUCGGUUUAGUUUUUGUCUGGUUUGGGAUUGUGACCUUUUAGAUUGCUAAAGAUUAGGCCUAUUAAAUAAUAUAAGCUGGAAUACUAUUUUCCAAAUGGAAGAUUGAAAUAAUCUACAUAGGGAUAUAAUAUUGAAUGAGGAAUGAGAUUACUCGAAAUUUUGGUGUCGUGGUCCAAAAGAUGCAAUGGGAAAGAUAGGUACAAUAAUUUCUCAUUUUAAAUCUUUUCAUUUGGUACUUGGAGUGUUGCAGAUGUAAUCGGAAUUCUGUUGGUUUUUUUUUUUUUGGAAGAUGUAAUAGGUGACUUUUUCCCACUUUAAGAAUUUGGGUUCUUAUGCAUGGACUUAUAGCUUUUUUCAUAACAUUACCAUUUACCAAUGGUUAAACAUGCAUAGUUUAACACCCCCUUACUCGAUCUACUGUGUAGCCGAGCAAAAGAAUGCCACAUCCUGUGCCAAAGCACCUAAUCUUAUCCUAUUCGAUUGAUGAUUAAUUUAAUUUCAUCAUAAUUUAAUUAAAGAAAUUUUAAAUGAAAACUGCAAGAGUUUCCCCGUAUUAUUAACAUUUUGCCUGUUAGAGAAUUGACUUGUUCAAAUCAUCUAUAUUGGAAAUCUCAAAUCUAUAUGAAUUUCAACAUCACAAUUCAUAUUCCUUUUCUAAUCACAUCCAUUUAUUUACAUAAAUUUUUCCUUCAUUACAUUCCUUUACAAAAUGUGUACAUUUAUCAUAUAUUUCAAAAUGUAAUUACAACUUUUGUGUCUUAAGUACAAUACAUAUAGUCAUGCAUUAAUGUGGGCCAAUGUUCUCUAUACCAAAAUGAUGUGCGGAGGUGACAAUGAUCCCUACUGCAGAUCAGUCUCAAAAUCUUUUUCUCUAGUCUAUUGGGUCUUAUCACUUGGACCUGCGCGAGGAGAAACCAUCGCGCCAAGCAUUUUUGCUUAGUGGUGCACUAAUGUAAUAAAAAUAUCAUUUACAAACAAAAAUAAUUUCAUGCUUGUAUGUAAUAAGAAAAUGCAUAUUUAAAUAUUCAUAAAUCAUUUUAAGAAGAAUAUAGAGUUUAUAACCUCAAACUUUUAUAGUCAUUUCACA
rnacentral:misc_RNA from 1 species